UACGUAGGGUGCAAGCGUUGUUCGGAAUUACUGGGCGUAAAGGGCUCGUAGGCGGCCAACUAAGUCAGACGUGAAAUCCCCAGGCUCAACCUGGGAACUGCGUCUGAUACUGGAUGGCUUGAGUUCGGUCGAGGCGGGCGGAACUGGUGGUGUAGCGGUGAAAUGCUUAGAUACCACCAAGAACCCCGAUUGCGUAGGCAGCUCGCUGGGCCGAAACUGACGCUGAGGCACGAAAGCGUGGGGAGCGAACAGG
rnacentral:rRNA from 1 species